rnacentral:rRNA from 2 species
GGACCAAGGAGUCUAGCAUGUGCGCGAGUUACUGGGACUCGAUAAACCUAAGGGCGCAAUGAAAGUAAAGGCAUGCCUUGUGCUUGCAUAGGGAGGAUGGGUUGUUGUCACGACACGGCCCCGCACUCCCGGGGCGUCUCGCACUCAUUGCGAGUUGAGGCGCACCCAGAGCGUACACGCUGGGACCC